CGGUGCAUGACGAAAAGAAUAUACGAGAAAUGUCAGAAUGACAUAAUCGAUGCCUUCGAAGUGGCCGCACAACGCGAAAUGGAAGAUGCAGGAAGAGAGGAACAAGAAUUAGCCAGAGCAAGGGGCGAUAUAGUUCCAGGAACUGAUAUACCGUGGAUAUCAGUUAUCGCGGAUGGCAGCUGGAUGAAGAGGUCAUACCGCGGAGGUGAUUACAAUUCCCUUUCUGGGGUAGGAGCCAUUGUGGGAUACCACAUGAAAAAAGUAUUAUAUAUCAGCGUGAAAAAUAAAUUUUGUCUGAUUUGCCAAAGAGCGGCGAAGAACAUGGAAGAAGCGCGUGAGCAUCGAUGCUUUAAAAAUUGGGGUUGAAUUCGACUGGGAUGGAAAGUGCUGCUAUUGUGGAAGGAUUCAAGUGCAGCAUAGAAAUGCACGGCCUCAUCUACUCUAUACUUGUUGCCGAUGGCGAUAGCAGCGUGUACAAGAAGAUAUUGGACAAUGAUCCAUAUGAAAAGUACAUGGUGCGUGUACGAAAAAUAGAAUGCACCAAUCACCUGCUUCGCAAUUUCGGUAGAAAAAUUACCGAUAUUGUAACAAAAGGCCGCCACAAGGAGCUAAGAGCUAUCGUACAGCAGAAUGCUAUACGCCUACGUACAGGUAUCAAGAAAGCUGCAAAAUACCGAUCAAAAGAAAAAUUAAGACUUGUUGAACAAAUACAAAGAAGAUAUGAAAAAUGUACCGAGUCACGUUUUCGGGGAGCACAAGGACUGUCAGAAGUUAGCAUACUUUUGUAAGAAAUACUCUGACCCCGACAGAGUGAAUUAUGUUCCAAAGUUGAAAGAAGCCGGUAUAUAUCAAAAUAUCGAAGAAGCGAUGCAGCCACUUUUCGCUAAAGCUGAAAGUUUGCUGUACGGUCUGAAUAAUAAUGCUGUUGAAAGCUUUAAUAAUAUCAUUGCCAAAUUUAUCGGAGGUAAAAGAAUAAAUUUUGGACGAAGAGGCUCGUAUCAGGGCAGAGUCAACGCAGUCAAUGCUGUCGUCCAAUUCAACACGAAAGAGACGUUCAGCAAAUUGAGUAUGGCAAUGGAUAAAGAACCGACACCUAUCGUAAGGAAAAUGGAAGAAUGUCGGAAGCGUGCAGCAGAUAUGGUAAAGAAAUAUAAAAAAGAAGCCAAAAUAUCCCACUUAAAAAAUCAGCAACAAUCUUGCGACCAGGAUUACGGACCCAACGCAGACAAAUCCAAUAUGGAAGAUAUUGUAUAUUCUGCCGAGUAUAAAAGGCACAUGGAUAUACUCCAUGAGUGGCAAACGAUGCGGCACACAAUAGAAGCAGAAACUCGCGAUCAAGCCGAAAGCGAUAAAUGGAUAGCUUAUAGAAGAAAAUUAUUAACCGCAUCCAAUUUCGGCAAGAUAUGCCGAUUACGAAAAGAUACACCGCGAGCAAAUACUUUGAAAAGUAUAAUGUAUCCGCAAAUACCGAAUCUACGUUGCCUACAAUACGGAAGGGAGAACGAGGCAAACGCCUUGAGGCAACUGGAAGUCGAAUUAGGAAUUCAUAUUCGGCCAUGUGGCCUCUUCAUCGAUGCCAUUGUGCCUUUAUAAGUGCAACUCCUGAUGGCAUCGUAGACGAUGAUACCAUCGUCGAAGUAAAGUGCCCGGAAUCGGCCAAGGAUUUAUCGCCUGCUGAAGCAAUACAGCAGUUACCUGCGAUACGGCGUAUCUUUCGAGGUGAUGAGGUCAAUACAAAUCACCAUUAUUAUUAUCAAGUGCAAGGACAGCUGCACAUAACAAAUAGACAAUAUUGUAUAUUUGGUUUAUGGACGCCGAAAGGAGUAAAAAUUAUACAAGUACCAAAAAAUGAUCAAUUCUGGGCAACACAGAUGGAAGAAAAACUCAAGAAGUUUUAUGAGGACUCCAUGUUGCCAGAGAUCGUAGAUAGCAGAUUUAAUCGACACCAGCCGAUUAGAGAACCUCCGUAUGUAAAAAGAGGAGGAGAAUCUACGAGUACAAAAUGAAGUACGUAUAAUGCACCGGCGAGUGCAUUAAGCGCAUGAUAACAGCUGAAUAACAAUGUACAAGUCCACCGACGAGUGCAUUGAGCGCAUGAUAACAGCUGAAUAACAAUGUACAAGUCCACCGACGAGUGCAUUGAGCGCAUAGGAGAAGCUGUGGAAGAAACAAUGUAACAAACUGUAAAUACAGAAAUAUAUAAAAUGUGAGUUUGCAGAGUGAAGAGGACCGUCUAUGACGGGGGUGGUGGUGGGACUCUUCAAACUCUCCUAAUAAUUUUUACUUGCAGCUAUUCUUUCAGUUCAAUGGGAAAUGACAUGUAUAAAAGUAAAUUUGCUUCAGUUAUUUCCACUGGCUAGUAUCAAAGACGAAAACCACGCUGUAUGAAGCAAGGAAAGAAAGCAAGUAUUCGAAAUGCUUGGAUACAGAUAAGUAACUAACAUACACACAUUUACAGUCUUAUUGUCUAAAAAUUGAUUACAAUUCGUUCUAACUUUUUCUGACAGGUUCUAUGACCAGAAACUACAAUCGAAAGGAGUCAGCGAUACUGCAACAAAAUAUUUAUCAGAGAUAGGAAACACUCGUAAUGGGUUCUUCAGGAUACGUAGAGUGUAUAGCAUGAUACUUGAAGACAUGUAUUUGUCGUCCGAUGGAAAUAGUUGUAUUAAUUGAAAAUCACCACAUAUGCAUAAAGGAAAGAAAGUUUUACAACCAGUAACUGCAAUCGAAAGGGGUCAGUGCCGUUGCAACAAAAUAUUUCUCAGAAAUAGUCAACACUAGUAAUGAAGUCUUCAGAAAAUGGACUACUAUCAAUAGUGAAAAUUGUGCUCUAUCAGGAAAGGAAAGGAAGCAGGUCUUUGCAGUAUAAGCAUAAAGGUUCUAUGACAAUAAAGGGGUCAGUAUCAUUGCAAGAAAUAUUUAAGAGAAAUAGGAAACUAAUAGUGGAUUCAUCAGGAAGUAUGAAACUAAGGUGUACAGCGUGACAGUUCAAGAGAUCCGGUAUCGUCUCAACCUAAUUUUAUACAUAAUAUUUGUUCAAUAACUGCUUUCUACAUAGGACGUUUAAUAAUCUUCUAAUAAGUGUAUAGCAUUCUUGUUUGCUGUAGUAUUUUGUUAAUAAAAAAAGGUUUGUACUUUACAGGUCAGAAUUUAAAUCUCUUUUUGUCAGUGUUUCAAUAUCCAUUUGUUAUUUAUGUAUUAAUCUACCCCAACCUAACCGUCUUAAUUUUCAUGUAAAAAAUGUGUAAACUAAGAAACUUUAUUUUCUGGGGAUUUCCCCUCAUUUAUUUUUCCGUCUCGUUAAUAAAGAAAUGUCUAAUGUAACAAAUUUCAUUUUCUUGGAAUAUCAUGUCACCUAUUUUUCCUUUUCAUUCAUAAUUCUUUAUUGCAGCUAUUGUAACGUAAAUACAUUUCGAACAAUUAAAAUGUACAAUUAACUUUUUACACUUGCACUAUCAAUGAAAAUUACUACACUGAGCAUUCAGAAUCCCUCAAGGAAAAAUUAUACAGUAUAUGCUGUUGAGAAGAAACUAUACUGUAUGACAAUAACGAGCAGCUCCAUCUAGUUUUCCUCCGCUACCGCAUAUCUAAUGGUAAUACCAUUUCUAUGCAGAGAGUAGCUGCUGUAAUACCGACCUGCCAAAUCGGAGAGGUCACGUGCCGUGUCUACCCCCUUAACGUUCUCGUCGAAGAGGUCGAGCACACCGCGACCGCGUCAAGACUGUCCGAACAUCGUUUCCAAAGUCGCUUUUGUGCGAAUCGUGACGGAAUUUGGGCUAACGUGAACGAAAUCAGCACGUGUUAUCGAAACGUAGUUCUCGUGUCGGUUACCGGUCGUCCCGGUGACCUUAGACGCUACGACAGCUCGGCAGUGUACACCGUAUUUUGUAACAUCUUUCGCGUACAAUAUAUUCUAUAUUAUUUUAAACGAGUGCUGUGUUAAUCCGCCCCGUCUUGCCGUGAAGACGGCUUUCUUAGACUUCCUUUCCUCGCCGAUGAUUCACGCUCCUCUCCGCGAUCCGGAUCGCUAGCCGUGAUAAUUUUCGCGACGUUCGGCUUCUCACGCCGGUAUCUUCUGAUACCUGGCGCUCGGGUUUUCCCGUAAAGGCGUGAGAAGUCGGAAAACUCUCAUUUUGCACAGUUUCCGACGCGGAUCGCGGACCGUGUCGGGAAAUCACGUUGCAAUAUAUAUAUAUAUAUACAUUCACUCUUUUCCGCUCGCAAAGCUUAUACAUAUAAAUUGUUAAUUGGAGGGUGUUAAACAAUGCUUCUACGUCUUCAUUGGUUAAGAUAAUAUAUUUGAAUAAUAUAAUAGAAUGAUCACGUUCUCUCACACCCAUACUGAAUAGAAGACUGUCUCUUCGGACACGCGCUUCCACAUGGAGGGGGAACACACACAUAUAGGUAUACAUUCGUACAAUACAAAUGUACCUACAUUCACACAAUACGCCUCCUUACAUAUGUAUUGUAUCUUUGAAAUAAACGCAUUUUUAUUUAAUAUUCA